rnacentral:rRNA from 1 species
CCCCACUGCUAUCGGGAUAGGACUAAGACAUGCUAGUCGUGUGACUCAGGUAAAACGAGUCACGGCGCACAGCUCAGUAACACGUGGGUAAUCUGCCCUUGGGACGAGAACAACCCCGGGAAACUGGGGCUAACUCUCGAUAGGUGAAGAACUCUGGAAUGAGUCUUUGCCUAAACAACUUCACGUUAUCCUCGUGAAGUCGCCCAAGGAUGAGGCCGCGGCCGAUCAGGUUGUUGGCGAGGUAAUGGCUCACCAAGCCUUUUACCGGUGCGGGCCGUGAGAGCGGGAGCCCGGAGAUGGGUACUGAGAUAAGGACCCAGGCCCUACGGGGCGCAGCAGUCGCGAAACCUUUGCAAUACACGAAAGUGUGACAGGGCUAUCCCGAGUGCCAUCCGCUGAGGAAGGCUUUUACCCAGUAUAGAUCGCUGGGGGAAUAAGGAGAGGGCAAGUCUGGUGU